AUUGAACGCUGGCGGCAGGCCUAACACAUGCAAGUCGAGCGGAUGAAGGGAGCUUGCUCCUGGAUUCAGCGGCGGACGGGUGAGUAAUGCCUAUGAAUCUGCCUGGUAGUGGGGGAUAACGUCCGGAAACGGGCGCUAAUACCGCAUACGUCCUGAGGGAGAAAGUGGGGGAUCUUCGGAUCUCACGCUAUCAGAUGAGCCUAGGUCGGAUUAGCUAGUUGGUGGGGUAAAGGCCUACAAAGGCGACGAUCCGUAACUGGUCUGAGAGGAUGGUCAGUCACACUGGAACUGAGACACGGUCCAGACUCCUACGGGAGGCAGCAGUGGGGAAUAUUGGACAAUGGGCGAAAGCCUGAUCCAGCCAUGCCGCGUGUGUGAAGAAGGUCUUCGGAUUGUAAAGCACUUUAGGUUGGGAGGAAGGGCAGUAAGUUAAUACCUGGCUGUAUUGACGGUACCAGCAGAAUAAGCACCGGCUAACUUCGUG
rnacentral:rRNA from 1 species